GUGGACUUUGCACCAAGCAAUUCAGAUUCAUUAGCUCAUUUAAACCUCACAAUAUACCCAAUAGCUUUUUUUAUCUUUAUUUUGUUUAUUUGUUUUUAUGUGGUGCUGAGAAUCGAACCCAGUGCCUCACAUUGCAAGACAAGCACUCUGCCACUGAGCCACAACCCCAACCCUACCCAAGAGCUUUUGAUUUUGCAGUACUAGACUAGGAAUUGAAUCAAGAGGCACUUUACCACUGAGCUACAUUCCCAGCCUUUUUUAAUUUUUUUAUUUUGAGGCAGGGUCUUGUUAAGUUGCCCAGACUCAUCUUGAACUCGGGAUCCUCCUGCCUCCCAAGUCUCUGGGAUUACAGGUAUGCACCACCAUGCCCAGCGCUAAGUAAAUGAUUUUAUUUUUAUUAUCCCUAUUUUGCUGAUGUGGAAACUGAGGCUCACAGAGGUUAUGUGAAUAGCAGCAAAGCCAUGACUCAAACUUUUGGACCCCAGAGUCUAUGCUCUGACCCUUUAUGUAAUCAUGGCUUCUUGAUAUUUUAUCUGCCAGUGUGAUGGCAGAUAGAUGGAAAAAGAAGCAAGAAUUGUGGCUUGAGAUUGUUUGUGUUGCUUUCAGCCCCAUCUGAGGGUUUCAUGGCUUCAAAAGUCAGCAAAUCCCUACCUGAGUCCAGAGUCACACGGCUUCUUCAAACUUGGACUAUAGCAUUCUGAGUUUACCUUACUCCAUAAGCCAAACUUACAGCCCAACAGCCCCUUACAUUGAGGAGAAGACCAUAAAAAUAAGACACAUGGAAAGAAUGGGUGGGCUUCUUCCCCCUGGCCAUGUACUUGGUCUGUAAUCAGUAAAAACCAGAAAUCCUGUUCAGGCUGUAUCCUCUGUCUCUUGCCUCACAGGUUCCAUGAAUAUUGUUCUCCUUGUAGGUGUUUUAGCUGCACUUUGCAGAGUUCCACACAAUCAAAGAAUUCAAUAUGAGUCAAAUGCUUACCAUAAUGGAAUAUUCUGACAUUUCAGAACAACAGGCUUGGCUCAAGGUGUUUCAAAAAGACACGCAUCGAAUGUCUUGAAAGCUGUUAUAAGAGAUUCAGCAGCUUUCACAUUGACCUCAAUAAACAAAAUGAAAUGUUUGCUCAUUUCAUGGUUGCCAUGUUCCAGUACAAACAGCCUGGUGUAUGUCCUACUUUCUACUCACCUCCAUUACCUUGGCCAUGUGUAUAUUAUGACCGGUAGGACUCAAAAAUCAUCUUCUGGAGGUGGGUAAGGAGGCAGGGAAAGUAAGAAGGUCAUAUCCCAAUUAGGGGCAACCCUGUUUCAGGACAGCUUGAAAUCAUUAGAUACCAGUGCCCACCAUUAGAAAAGUUAGAACAGCAUCAGAGUUAAUAUUCAUACUCAAGGCAUUCAGUGCAUUUAGGAUUAAAUCAAAGUUCUACAGGGAGACAGGGUUGCCAAUGCCAACAGUGUAAACGGUCCUCACAUUUCCAGCAAACCACGUGGGCGAAGAACAAGGAAAUCCAGCACCCAUCUUGAACUCUUUUUCCAAAACAAAGGCUAAAUGCCCCUGCCCCCUCACACACACACAUACACGCGCACAUGCACACACACACACACAAACACACACACCCAUCCUCCCCAAUACCCAUGGACAGGUGAGCUGCCCCUGCUGUAGGCCUCAUAAGUAGUUUUCAGUCCUGGCCAGUCCUGGCCUUGGUUCCAUGGCUAUUUUGUCUUUCUCUGCCUGUCAUUCUGUGACCCCUGAAGGUAGGGUGAAAUCCAACCUGCUCAGAACCUGCCUCACACCUAACUUAAAUAUAUUUUCACUCACUGUAUGAAUGAAUUAUGACAUCGAUGGGGAAGAAGGAAUGCCUGGAAAAACAUGGGUGAGAAUUAGCUCCGACGUCAUAGAGAAGACCUGGGAUCCCCAGGAGGGUGCUCUAGACACUAAGGCUGUGCCAAGCCCCUUCUGCUGGGGGAGACUUUCUUUGGUUUAGUAAGAUCUUUUAAAGACUAAGGUACCCUUCCUCAUUUAACACCUUUUCAAAGCACUGUAAGCCUUGGCUUUUUAAACCACUUACUUGUCCCUGUUUUCAUUUCUGGACAAAAUGCCAUAUGUAAAAACCAAUAUUUUCUGUGUUCCAAGUUUAAG
rnacentral:lncRNA from 1 species